CGAGCUUCAGAUAGGAAAGAAUGGAUCUCCGAUCUUCUUAUCCACCUGCGUACUAGCCUGGAUCGAAAAUGAGCUGGAGUUUCUCCGAAGGAAUUCAUCGCAUUGUGCGGCCAAGAAGACUCCGACGAAGCUCGCACAAGUCCGUUGCAUGUUCAGAUCCGUAUAACGCUCCUUGUCUCCUCUAGAUUCCACGUCUUACCUCACGAAUUCAUGAACUCUCCAAUGAAGAACCAAGAACAACAAUCGGAUUCGCGGAUACUCUCAACAUUGAAUCGACAUCGAGACCGAGACUGAAUUAACUUCGUUUCUUUUUCUUGUGCGCGAAUUGAAAGAAAUUGAAGAGAGAGUGGUUACCUACCGGAAUCGAUGUGUUGACGGUGCGGUUGGUCGUUCGUUCUGUGAGUUCCUGCAGAAUCGGCUAAACCGAGAGCGAAGAGGGAGAGCGUACUCGUGGCGCAAUGGAGCUUCGAAGAUGGAAAGCGGAAUCGAAGCUGUGGAUUCACCGGUUCAGAUGAUUGAAGAUUGAUAUUGGAUUGAAGGUGAUGAAGUGGAUUGAAGGUUGGUGUGGUGAAGGUUUCGGUUGAAAAAUUGAGAGUUUGUGAUGAAGUUUGGAAGAAGAAGAUUGAAACAGAAUUGUUGCAGAGAUUUGGAGAGUGAAGAAUGAAGAAGAGGAAAAUAGAAUGAAGACGUGGAAGAGGAUUGAAGAUAGAGAUGGAAGAACCUUGAAGAAUCACCAUGAGAUUCUGAAAUCUUCAACUGCCGCAGAGUUAUGCUUUUAGCAAUGUCGUGUCGGUGACAGAAGAAAGCCUUGAGAGGCAAUGUCUACCAUGGCCAACAACUCCAUAAGGCCUUCUAAUUGUCAACCGCCAUAGUUAAACUGGUGGGCUAUGUUGGUUCAGUGUACAUGUUGUCGUAACUGCCGUAGUCACAAUUCUAGCUGCGUCGUUGGGAGCUCAGUUAUCAUGUUGCCAAUUUGAACCAUUGAGACCGCAAGAGCUGACGGCCUGGUACCGGAAACCAGAGGAGUACCUGGAGUUAUUGAGAUGGUCGGCAUUCCGGAUAAAGAGCUUUCAGUUUAUCUUGUAGCAGCUUGCGGUUCUCUCGGUGGCACUGGCAGCUUAUGCCUUUUUUCAAUUCAUUGGCUUAUGUAAACCACUGUUUGGAUAAUAUAUUAAGGAUUGCAUUAUGUAACGGUUGGGAUGGCACUGACUUAAUUCCUAUGGUACUGUUUCAGUGUAAUUUUGAAAAAUUAGGAUAGAAUAGAAUGAAUAUGCAAUGGUAUUGUCAUUAGUAAGAAUGGUUAUUUGAAUUUGCUUGUAGAAUUUUGAUAAUGGUUUUGGAAUGUAUAAUAUGGCAAUGUUUGGAA